UGUUGGCUGUGCAGGAGCCGUUAAUGCUUCACGCAUUACUGUGUAUGGUCGUUUGCACUUCCACUCCUGCUUUAGUGUCACUUUCACACUGAGUGCUGUACUGUCUGUCGAAUAAUAUGCUAUGGUGUGGUCUUCAUUGUGAUUGCAUUGCAUGUGCAUUUAACCUCCAAGAUCCGAUGCUGCAGCAGAUAAUUCAUCUUUGAUAUGGCCGAGGAAUGAUCUUCUCCAUUGUAUCCACAUUUUCAGAGGGGUGAAUACAGAACAUCAACACCUGAUGUCAAAUCAUGCAACAUCAUUUAUGAGAGUUUAAUAUUUUCCAAGGGAGAAACAGAGAAAAACAUUUACAUCAAGAUUUUACAUUACGCAUUGCUGGCUUAACUAUGCUUUAGUGCUGCCUCCUGCGUUGGGGAGGGAAUAAGGAAUACUAUUCUACUGGUAUGGAUUACUAAGAAAAUGCUAUUCAUCCUUUCUCAAAUUACAAACCAGGGAACUCCCAUUUCAUGGAACCGAAACAUAUUAACGACUCAGAGAAGAAGACAUCAUAUGCACUCAUAGAUCAGUGAUACUUACGUACAGUUAUGCACUCAUAGAUCAGUGAUACUUACAUACAGUUACUAUGAAGUAUUUUCAUAAUUUCUUUUAUGAAAUCAAAUCAUUUAACUUUGUUUGUGCUUUAUAUUCUGUCAAAUAGUUUCCAGUUUGAGUAGAAAAGAAAUUACUGUAUUUACUCGAAUCUAUGCCACACUCGAAUCCAAGCCACACCUGAAAAAUGAGACUCGAAAUUGAGGGGAAAAAAAUGUCCCGAAUCUAAGCUGCACCUGAAAUUUGAGACUCGAAAUUCGAGGAGAGAGAAAAGUUUUAGACCGCAUCUCCAAGUCUAAAAAAAGUUGGUCCAUUGUAACAUAAGACACAAUUGAUGCCAAAUGGAUGAAGAUAAAGCUACAGUAGUUUGGUUCGAGUUGUAAUCUUAAGUGUUAAGCUUUACCAAGUAGCUAUUGCCAUGUGUCAGGCACUCUGUCCGUACUGAUGCGGGUUCCCUUCCUUUAUCAGGUGCUUCGUCUGGUUUGAAUCAAUUACUUAUUUGGCUUUGAUCUGAUAAGUGCCGUUCUCUUUGUUAUAGGUGUUUGCAUCACUCUAAGCUGAAAAUUGAUUAUUGUAUUGUAUCAGGCAUUUUUUGUAGCAUUCAGAUAAUGAGUGUUUACGACCUGUCGCCGCUAGCAACAUGGCUUGCUUUUGUGUGCAUGACUGUCACUUACAGUUAAAAAGGAGAGGAACUGUCUCAUUAGCAAAACAAUGGUAAGAGACUGCUAUUUGGACUGUGUAUGAUAGAUGAUGUUCUGAAUGAGAGUUUAGCGAAAACUUUUCUCCAUUUGAAAAUCUUUGCAGAUGCCUCUUUAGUUACAGCACAUUCUGCACAGAAAUUAGAUUCAUUGUAGAUUUAAAAAUCUAGUCAGCUGCUGUGCUUUAUUUCUGACUGUAUCACUAUUGAGCAUAAGAAUAAUACGAAUAUAAACAUGACAUGAUAUGUAUAUUCUUCCAUGUUUGCUGUUGUCUCAUUCUAGUUUCGUAGUUUAUUAGGCAGACAGGAUUUAAAUGAGAUAGCAGCGAACAUGAAAGAAUACAUGGCAUCAUGUUUACAUUCUUCUACAUUUUCUUUUAAUUUAUUUACCGAUGCAGACGGUUUUGGCCCCAGUAUUUAUCUUUGUGCCUGCAAAGCAUGCCUGUGUAGUGGUGCAUAUAUUCAAAGGCAGAUGUUAGUUAUGGCGGCGUCUACCAACAUUUUUCAGAACUUCCGCUUACUUUGCACUCGAUUCUAAGGCGGUUUUUUGGAUUACAAAAACCGGAAAAAAGUGUGGCUUAGAAUCGAGUAAAUAUGGUAACUUUCUUAUGUAGAGUAACCACUCUGGCUAACAUUACAUAUUUGAACUAGCAAUGCUAAUU